rnacentral:rRNA from 1 species
AUGGGCGCAAGCCUGAUGCAGCGACGCCGCGUGAGGGAUGACGGCCUUCGGGUUGUAAACCUCUUUCAGUAGGGAAGAAGCAAAAGUGACGGUACCUGCAGAAGAAGCACCGGCUAACUACGUGCCAGCAGCCGCGGUAAUACGUAGGGUGCGAGCGUUAUCCGGAAUUAUUGGGCGUAAAGAGCUCGUAGGCGGUUUGUCGCGUCUGUCGUGAAAGUCCGGGGCUUAACCCCGGAUCUGCGGUGGGUACGGGCAGACUAGAGUGCAGUAGGGGAGACUGGAAUUCCUGGUGUAGCGGUGGAAUGCGCAGAUAUCAGGAGGAACACCGAUGGCGAAGGCAGGUCUCUGGGCUGUAACUGACGCUGAGGAGCGAAAGCAUGGGGAGCGAACAGGAUUAGAUACCCUGGUAGUCCAUGCCGUAAACGUUGGGCACUAGGUGUGGGGACCAUUCCACGGUUUCCGCGCCGCAGCUAACGCAUUAAGUGCCCCGCCUGG